GAUAAACGCUGGCGGCGCACAUAAGACAUGCAAGUUGAACGGACUUAAUCGACAUAUUUAUAUUUUGAAGCGGUUAGUGGCGGACUGGUGAGUAACGCGUAAGGAACCUGCCUAUUAGAGGGGAAUAACAGUGAGAAAUCAUUGCUAAUACCGCAUAUGCCAUAGAUAUCACAUGAUAACAGUGGGAAAGGAGCAAUCCGCUAAUAGAUGGCCUUGCGUCUGAUUAGAUAGUUGGUGGGGUAACGGCCUACCAAGUCGACGAUCAGUAGCCGGACUGAGAGGUUGAACGGACACAUUGGGACUGAGAGACGGCACAGACACCGACGGGAGGAAGCAGUAGGGAAUAUUGCGCAAUGGAGGAAACUCUGACGAAGUGAGGCCGCGUAUAGGAAGAAGGUUUGCGGAUUGUAAACUAUUGUCGUGAGGGAAGAGAAAGGACAGUACCGAAGGAGGAAGCACCGGCUAACUACGUG
rnacentral:rRNA from 1 species